AUGAACGCUGGCGGCGUGCCUAAUACAUGCCAGUCGAGCGAACAGAUGAGGAGCUUGCUCCUCUGACGUUAGCGGCGGACGGGUGAGUAACACGUGGAUAACCUACCUAUAAGACUGGGAUAACUUCGGGAAACCGGAGCUAAUACCGGAUAAUAUAUUGAACCGCAUGGUUCAAUAGUGAAAGACGGUUUUGCUGUCACUUAUAGAUGGAUCCGCGCCGCAUUAGCUAGUUGGUAAGGUAACGGCUUACCAAGGCAACGAUGCGUAGCCGACCUGAGAGGGUGAUCGGCCACACUGGAACUGAGACACGGUCCAGACUCCUACGGGAGGCAGCAGUAGGAAAUCUUCCGCAAUGGGCGAAAGCCUGACGGAGCAACGCCGCGUGAGUGAUGAAGGUCUUCGGAUCGUAAAACUCUGUUAUUAGGGAAGAACAAAUGUGUAAGUAACUAUGCACGUCUUGACGGUACCUAAUCAGAAAGCCACGGCUAACUACGUG
rnacentral:rRNA from 1 species